rnacentral:rRNA from 1 species
GCCUGCGGAGGGAUCAUUACAAGUGACCCCGGUCUAACCACCGGGAUGUUCAUAACCCUUUGUUGUCCGACUCUGUUGCCUCCGGGGCGACCCUGCCUUCGGGCGGGGGCUCCGGGUGGACACUUCAAACUCUUGCGUAACUUUGCAGUCUGAGUAAACUUAAUUAAUAAAUUAAAACUUUUAACAACGGAUCUCUUGGUUCUGGCAUCGAUGAAGAACGCAGCGAAAUGCGAUAAGUAAUGUGAAUUGCAGAAUUCAGUGAAUCAUCGAAUCUUUGAACGCACAUUGCGCCCCCUGGUAUUCCGGGGGGCAUGCCUGUUCGAGCGUCAUUUCACCACUCAAGCCUCGCUUGGUAUUGGGCAUCGCGGUCCGCCGCGUGCCUCAAAUCGACCGGCUGGGUCUUCUGUCCCCUAAGCGUUGUGGAAACUAUUCGCUAAAGGGUGUUCGGGAGGCUACGCCGUAAAACAACCCCAUUUCUAAGGUUGACCUCGGAUCAGGUAGGGAUACCCGCUGAACUUAAGCAUAUCAAA